GACGAACGCUGGCGGCGUGCCUAAUACAUGCAAGUGGGACGCAAGGGAACACACUGUGCUUGCACACCGUGUUUUCUUGAGUCGCGAACGGGUGAGUAACGCGUAGGUAACCUGCCUAUUAGCGGGGGAUAACUAUUGGAAACGAUAGCUAAUACCGCAUAAUAUUAAUUAUUGCAUGAUAAUUGAUUGAAAGAUGCAAGCGCAUCACUAGUAGAUGGACCUGCGUUGUAUUAGCUAGUUGGUAAGGUAAGAGCUUACCAAGGCGACGAUACAUAGCCGACCUGAGAGGGUGAUCGGCCACACUGGGACUGAGACACGGCCCAGACUCCUACGGGAGGCAGCAGUAGGGAAUCUUCGGCAAUGGACGAAAGUCUGACCGAGCAACGCCGCGUGAGUGAAGAAGGUUUUCGGAUCGUAAAGCUCUGUUGUAAGUCAAGAACGUGUGCGAGGGUGA
rnacentral:rRNA from 1 species